UUCCUAAAUGCUCAUCAGAUCUCGAGUGCCCUGGGGAGGGAAGAGGCUAUUAAAGCAGGAAUUCUAAUAUCAUUUCAGUGAAAUCCUCAGCGCUGAAAGCCAGCUCCUCCCAUGUGCUGCUGACUUGACAGGAGCACCUAGACCAAGAUUGCACUCUGCAGGCCAUUGCACAGAUAGAAUAAAUCACCCAUUUUGGGGGCAGAAACAAAGCAUGCUGUGGAGGGACACCUAGCCAGAGCUAGCAAGAGGAGAUGGAACCCAGCAGAAAAGCCAAACUGGAAAGGAGAAAGCAGGUGCCAAGGCUCUGAAGCAAUCCUCUCCUUCCCUGCACAUGCUGCUUAAUGCGCUGAGCUCACACUUGCAAGGUUGCCAGCUUUGAAAGGAAGAUCCAGGACUGGCCCUUCCAUCUGCAUGGUGCCCAGCCCCAUUGCUCUUCUAGAAUGUUCCGAGGUUCUACAACUGUCAGUAGUGAUAGCUGCCAUCUCCCAGGCAUUGGCAAUGCAGAGUGCCCUACUGGAACUGCAUUAUUAUUUUAAUAAAACACGAGUCCCUCCAGUAAGCUGAUCAAUGACAACUACAAAAGCAUGUGACUAGAAUAAGGCUACUGGUUUGGGAUGGGUCUGUUGGGUCACCACUCUCCUGAGAUUCCUCUGGACGUUUACCAUGCAAAUGGACAACAUUUCAACAAGACAGACAGCAAAGAGCCAAAGGGCCAGCGCCCAGAGGAAGCAGCAGACAAACUCAGAGUUUGUUUUGGAAACAAGAACUGGAGGAGCAAAGAACCUGAACCUUCACCAAAAGCGAGCUGCCUGUUUGGAAGACUGCAAAGCAGGUGCCGCAGUAUGUUUGUGCUCAUCUCUCCUGGAGCAGAGAAAGUGAGAUACAUUCAUUGAAUCAAAAAGAGACUGAGAUUAAGGCAGUUUCAAUGGUGUUUUCCACAAUCCCAUGCUAACUCAUUACUACCUUGUUCAAAAAGAUUACAAAAUACAGAAGGAUACUAUUAAUUAUGCUAUUGGAGAUUGGAACCCCAGGGACUGCAAUAUAAAAGGUGUUCAAGGUCUGGUUGAAACUGAAACACCACCAGGACAAUAAAGCUUCAUUUUAACCACC